UGUGUGCUUCUUCAGGCAUGAUACCGACUGUUUUUAGCGCAAGUGAUAAAAAAGACUUAGUAAUUGAUAUUCGAGAUUUCAAAUUUAAAUUCUAAUUGAUUCACAUUUUUAGUUAAAUUUAUUUUUAAAUAAAAUAAACGAAGCGGGUAGCAUGUUAGCUAUCUCUGAGAAAAUUUUUUUUAAAAAAAACAACCUUCAGACA
rnacentral:lncRNA from 1 species